rnacentral:rRNA from 1 species
GACGAACGCUGGCGGCGUGCUUAACACAUGCAAGUCGAACGGAAAGGCCUCUUUCGGGGGGUACUCGAGUGGCGAACGGGUGAGUAACACGUGAGUAACCUGCCCUUGACUUUGGGAUAACUUCAGGAAACUGGGGCUAAUACCGGAUAGGAGCUCCUGCUGCAUGGUGGGGGUUGGAAAGUUUCGGCGGUUGGGGAUGGACUCGCGGCUUAUCAGCUUGUUGGUGGGGUAGUGGCUUACCAAGGCUUUGACGGGUAGCCGGCCUGAGAGGGUGACCGGCCACAUUGGGACUGAGAUACGGCCCAAACUCCUACGGGAGGCAGCGGUGGGGAAUAUUGCACAAUGGGUGGAAGCCUGAUGCAGCAACGCCGUGUGCGGGAUGACGGCCUUCGGGUUGUAAACCGCUUUCGCUCAUGACGAAGCUUUGUGUGACGGUAGUGGGUAAAGAAGCACCGGCUAACUACGUG